UACAUGCAAGUCGAACGAAGUAGCAAUACUUAGUGGCAGACGGGUGAGUAACAUGUGGGUAUCUUCCCUUUGGUGAGGAAUAACACGAGGAAACUUGUGCUAAUACCUCAUAAGUCUUUACGGAGAAAGCUUUAUGCGCCAUUGGAUGAGCCUGCACUUGAUUAGUUUGUUGGUGGGGUAAUGGCCUACCAAGACUUUGAUCAAUAGCUGAUUUGAGAGGAUGAUCAGCCACAUUGGGACUGAGACACGGCCCAAACUCCUACGGGAGGCAGCAGUAGGGAAUCUUGCACAAUGGAGGAAACUCUGAUGCAGCGAUGCCGCGUGAGUGAAGAAGGCCUUUGGGUUGUAAAGCUCUUUCGUCGGGGAAGAAAAUGACUGUACCCGAAUAAGAAGGUCCGGCUAACUUCGUGCCAGCAGCCGCGGUAAUACGAAGGGACCUAGCGUAGUUCGGAAUUACUGGGCUUAAAGAGUUCGUAGGUGGUUAAAAAAGUUGGUGGUGAAAGCCCAGAGCUUAACUCUGGAACGGCCAUCAAAACUUUUUAGCUAGAGUUUGAUAGAGGAAAGCAGAAUUUCUAGUGUAGAGGUGAAAUUCGUAGAUAUUAGAAAGAAUACCAAUUGCGAAGGCAGCUUUCUGGAUCAUUACUGACACUGAGGAACGAAAGCAUGGGUAGCGAAGAGGAUUAGAUACCCUCGUAGUCCAUGCCGUAAACGAUGUGUGUUAGAUGUUGGAAAUUUAUUUUCAGUAUCGCAGCGAAAGCAAUAAACACACCGCCUGGGGAGUAC
rnacentral:rRNA from 1 species